AUUGAAUUUUGGUUCACAUUUAUUUCCUAACCUCUUUAUUGCUGAAAAUCUACAACCUUUUUAUGUAAAAUAAAGUUAUGGAACAAAAUAAAAAAGACUGAUUCAAGUGAUACAAUUGAGCAACAGAUCAGCGCAGGAAAAGGGAUAAUAGAGAACCUUCACCACGAUGUUAAUGAGAAUAUCUUAGAUGAAGAAAAAACUGAAGAGAUCCACCAAGAACAUGAGAUAAAGGGAGAUGAAAUUCUAGGGGAUAACAUGUUAGCAAAGGAAAUGCAAAGUGAAGAAGUAAGCUUAUAACUUUUGAAUUUUGUUUAUAUUUAUUUCCCAACUUUUUCAUUACUAUACAGUUGAAGCCUUUUAUCUGAAAUACAAUUAUGCAAAGAAAUUGUAAAGACUAAUGCAAGUGAGACAUUUCAAAGCAGAUGAUCACAGAAAAAGGAACAGUAGAGAACCUUCACCAGGUUGUUGUCAACAACUUAAGCAAAGAAGCAAUUGAAGAGAUCCACCAAGAACAUAAGAUCAAGGUUGAAGAAAGUCAAGGAGAUAAUGAAGUCACAAACGAACAGGUCGGAUAGAGAAUCAGACUUGCUUUCUUUUUUUGCUUUUCCAAGAAGUGUAGAAACUUUUUUAAUUGUUAACUGAGAGGGAAAAAACGACAGAUCAUGGAAGAGAAUGAUGCCAAGAAAUGUGAGGAAAUAACCAAUGGUGAAGAAGGAGCUAAAGAGAGCUGCAAAGAUCACGAGAUAAAUGGUGAAGAAAGUCUCGGAGACGACGCAUUGGCAAAGGCAACACAAGAUGAAACAGUAAGACUAUAGCUAGUAAAAUUUAUUUACAUUCCAAGCAUUUCCAUUACUAUAAAGUUGCCUUUAUUUGAAAUACAUAUAUACAACAAUAUUGAAAAGACUAAUGUAAGUGAGACGAUUAAAAAACAGAUCAGCACAGAAAAGGAAACGGUGGAGAACCAUCAACAAGCUGUUGUAAACAGUAUCUUGGUUGAAGAAGCAACUAAAAUAAUCCACCAAGAACAUGAGAUGAAGGAUGAAGAAAAUCUAGGCGAUGAGACAAAGGAAAAACAAAACGAAGAGGUAAGACUGAGCGUAUUGAAUUUUAGUUCACAUUUAUUUUUCGCAACCUCUUCAUUACAAAAAAUCUAAAACCUUUAUAUGCAAAAUAAAGUUAUGGAACAAAAUCAAAAAGACUGAUUCAAGUGAUACAAUUGAGCAACAGGUCAGCGUAGGAAAAGGGAUAAUAGAGAACCUUCACCAAGAUGUUGUUGAGAAUAUCUUAGGUGAAGAAGAAACUAUAGAGAUCCACCAAGAACAUGAGAUAAAGGGUGAAGAAAUUGUGGGGGAUAAAGUGUUAGCAAAGGAAAUGCAAAGUGAAGCAGUAAGCUUGUAACUUUGAAUUUUAUUUAUGAUUAUUUCCCAAAUUUUUCAUUACUAUACAGUUGAAGCCUUUUAUCAAAAAAACAAUUAUGCAAGGAAAUUGUAAAGACUAAUGCAAGUGAGACAUUUGAAAAGCA
rnacentral:lncRNA from 1 species